GCAGCUUGUAGACUUCGGUCUGCUACCUCUUACCCAUGUCUUUUGAGUACCUUCGUUUCCUCGGCGGGUCCGCCCGCCGAUUGGACAACAUUCAAACCCUUUGCAGUUGCAAUCAGCGUCUGAAAAAACAUAAUAGUUACAACUUUCAACAACGGAUCUCUUGGUUCUGGCAUCGAUGAAGAACGCAGCGAAAUGCGAUAAGUAGUGUGAAUUGCAGAAUUCAGUGAAUCAUCGAAUCUUUGAACGCACAUUGCGCCCCUUGGUAUUCCAUGGGGCAUGCCUGUUCGAGCGUCAUUUGUACCUUCAAGCUCUGCUUGGUGUUGGGUGUUUGUCUCGCCUCCGCGUGUAGACUCGCCUUAAAACAAUUGGCAGCCGGCGUAUUGAUUUCGGAGCGCAGUACAUCUCGCGCUUUGCACUCAUAACGACGACGUCCAAAAGUACAUUUUUACACUCUUGACCUCGGAUCAGGUAGGGAUACCCGCUGAACUUAAGCAUAUCAAUAAGCCGGGAGGAA
rnacentral:rRNA from 1 species